GUAACUGCGAGUGAAGCGGGAAAAGCUCAGACUGAAAAUCUUCGGAAUUGUAGUCUGGAGAAGUAUGGUCAGCCGAUGAUGAUGAGUGAAGUCUUCUGGAAAGGAGCGCCUUGGAGGGUGAUAGCCCCGUUCAUACUUAUCAUUAGAAGCGUACGACCUGCUUUCUACGAGUCGUGUUGUUUGGGACUGCAGCACUAAGUGGGUGGUAAAUUCCAUCUAAAGCUAAAUAUUGGUGGGAGACCGAUAGCGAACAAGUACCGUGAGGGAAAGAUGCAAAGAACUUUGAAAAGAGAGUUAAAUAGUACCUGAAAUUGCUGAAAUGGAACCGAUGGGAAGCAGUGUCGGCUAGGUAGUACUUGUACUGCUUAGCAAGUUAGGCUUCUUUAACUAUGUGGGAAAGGCUUCUAAACCUGUAUGGGUUAGUUUUGCUGUCAUG
rnacentral:rRNA from 1 species